rnacentral:lncRNA from 1 species
UUAUAUUAACAUAAGUAAACAUUUGUGCUAACAAAUGUAUAUUUUAUACUAAUUAAAAGUAAUUAUUAUCUUAAUAAAAAGUAAUUAUGCAUAUGAAUAAAUGUAAUAUUUAAAAAAAAAUUCCACGAAAAUUAUUAUUUUUACUCACGAAAAUUUGUAAUGUUAAUUAUUUGGUUAAGUAAUUAUAGUUGUAAGAAAAAAUAACCAUUGAUAUGAAUAAAUAUAAUAUUAAAAAAAAGAAAUAGUUGGAAAAAAUAAAAAUAAAAGUUAAAAAAGUGUUGAAAAUAAAAAAUAAAACAGAAAAAUAGAAAAAAAAGAGAGCUAAAAAAAGAAAAAGAAAAGCAAAAAACGAAAAAGACAAAAAACUGAAACAACAAAAAAAAAGCAUAGAUCAUUGUAAAAAAUCAGAAAAGAAAUUAAUAUAUAGAGUUAGGACUGUAAAAUCGGGUUGCGGGUAUCGGGUAUACCCUCACCCGUCCCGAUACCCACAAAUUUGAAGAGGAGGGUCGGGUGCGGGUAUCAUAUCCUCAAAAAUCGCGGGUAGAGGGUACCCGCAUUACCC